rnacentral:rRNA from 1 species
UGGCGGCCCGCUUAACAUGCAAGUCGAACGAUGAAGCCGGAGCUUGCUCUGGUGGAGAGUGGCGAACGGGUGAGUAACACGUGAGCAACCUGCCCCUGACUCUGGGAUAAGCGCUGGAAACGGCGUCUAAUACUGGAUAUGAACAGCGACCGCAUGGUCAGUUGUUGGAAAGAUUUUUCGGUCUGGGAUGGGCUCGCGGCCUAUCAGCUUGUUGGUGAGGUAAUGGCUCACCAAGGCGUCGACGGGUAGCCGGCCUGAGAGGGUGACCGGCCACACUGGGACUGAGACACGGCCCACACUCCUACGGGAGGCAGCAGUGGGGAAUAUUGCACAAUGGGCGCAAGCCUGAUGCACAACGCCGCGUGAGGGAUGACGGCCUUCGGGUUGUAAACCUCUUUUAGCAGGGAAGAAGCAAAUGUGACGGUACCUGCAGAAAAAGCGCCGGCUAACUACGUGCCAACAUCCGCGGUAAUACGUAGGGCGCAAGCGUUAUCCGGAAUUAUUGGGCGUAAAGAGCUCAUACGCGGUUUGUCGCGUCUGGCUGUGAAAA